GCAUUGCUGGUUCAGUGGCAGAAUUCUCACCUUCAAUGUGGGAGACCUGGGUUCAACUCCCAGCCAAUGCA